rnacentral:rRNA from 1 species
CAUAGAGCACUCGGCGGGGACGCCCUUGGCGACGCGCUUGGGGUCGGUGCAGUAGUUGUAGAUCAUGUAGUUUCUCUGCACCCACCGCAUCCGCUGCUGCCGCGUCAGGUCCAGCUCCUGGUUGUACCACUCGCCCGUCGCGCCGGUGCCGGGGGCGACCUCCGUGCCGACGCUGGCGCCGCAGCGCGGCCGGCCGCCCGCGGUCACCACACACGCGUCGGCCUUGAAGCCGCGGUACGAGGCGGAGAACGGGGCGUGGGACCAGUCCGUCUUGACGCGGCCGCCCUGCGUGGCCCAGUCGUCGGCGUUCCAGAGGCUGGAGUAGAGCCGCAUGGGCUGGUUCUUGGGGAAGGCGAUCCCCUUUCCCUCCAGGUUCCUGAAGUCCCUGAUCGGCAUGUCGUCCACCAUGAAGCUGCAUUAUUAUUUACACCACCAAAUCAAUCAGUCCAUGUAUCAACAAACAUACAUGAUGUGCUUUGGGUUCCAGAGGAUGGAGUAGGUGUGGAAGUCGUUGGUGGGAUCGAACCAGAGGCGGAACUGCUGCUCCCGCUGGCCCUGCCCCUGCGUGAACACGUUUGUGUGCAGAGUGUACGGCUCGCCGGUGACGUUGCCAAGGAACUCGAAGUCAAUCUCGUCGUGCCAAUGAAUGGAAGUUUGGUCGCGUACGUAGUAUGCGGUGACGGUGCCGGCGGAGUUGCCGGGGACGAGCUUGAGCUGCAUGUCGAUCUUGCCGAAGAGGUACUCGUGCUUGGACUGGAACCC